ensembl:snRNA Gm22557 predicted gene, 22557
ACCUCAACAUCACAGAUAUUAAAAACUGGAACAAUUCGGAGAACAUUAGCAUGACCUCGACAGAAGGAUGACAAGCAAACUCGUGAAGGAUUCCUUAUUUAA